UGUGCAAGGCUUUCAAUAGCACCUUGCCCACAAUGGCCCAGAUGGAGAAAGCUCUGAGCAUCGGAUUUGAGACCUGCAGGUAUGGGUUCAUAGAAGGGCACGUGGUGAUUCCCCGGAUCCACCCCAACUCCAUCUGUGCAGCAAACAACACCGGGGUGUACAUCCUCACGUCCAACACCUCCCAGUAUGACACAUAUUGCUUCAAUGCUUCAGCUCCACCUGAAGAAGAUUGUACAUCAGUCACAGACCUGCCCAAUGCCUUUGAUGGACCAAUUACCAUAACUAUUGUUAACCGUGAUGGUACCCGCUAUGUCCAGAAAGGAGAAUACAGAACGAAUCCUGAAGACAUCAACCCCAGCAACCCUACUGAUGAUGACGUGAGCAGCGGCUCCUCCAGUGAAAGGAGCAGCACUUCAGGAGGUUACAUCUUUUACACCUUUUCUACUGUACACCCCAUCCCAGAUGAAGACGGUCCCUGGAUCACCGACAGCACAGACAGAAUCCCUGCUACCAGUAAGGAGAAUAAAUCACUGUGCUUCCCAAUAGCAAUUCCCUGGCAAAAUGUCUCUGACCUUCCUGAGCAUUGCACACUCAGGUGCUGAUUUUCUCGUCUCUAGACAGCUGGAAGCUGGUGAUGCCAUUCAGGGAGGUGGGCUCUUGUGGUUGUCAGUAAACUGCCUGCAUUGACUACUACUGCCUACCUUUUUUCCUCAUCUAUAACUGUUUUUCUUACCUUAGCAUAAGAAGUGCCAUAUUGGAAGUUUUAUUUUGGGGAGAGCCCUCCUUAUUCUCUUAUCCCCAGGUAUACAGUAACAAUUCAAGCCUGAUAUAAAAACUGUUUUCAUUUUUUCAUGUUUCCUUCUUGUUCUUAUCCACC
rnacentral:sRNA from 1 species